AUAACUCGGACUGAUGCAUUUUUCAGCUUCUGGAAGUUGCAUCGGAAAGUUUAGUGAACCUUAUCACUUAGAGGAAGGAGAAGUCGUAACAAGGUUUCCGUAGGUGAACCUGCGGAAGGAUCAUUCGCACUAUCCAAUCAAUCAACGUGAACUCCUGUCGUGAGUGACUGGGUGGAGAUGGCUGGCUCGGCUGAUCUUUUUGGCUGGGUCACUUCCUCUGCUCAGGAGCUCGAGGGUGGCAGGGCACUCCUGCGGCCUCCGGGUCCCGGGUGUGUUCCUGUUGCCAGCUUCUUGACUGAUUUAAUAGUCUCUUCUUACUUGUUGCAGCGCAACUUCUAUGAGUUUUACUCAUUACAACUUUCAGCGACGGAUAUCUCGGCUCAAGCACCGAUGAAGGGCGCAGCGAAGUGUGAUAAUCAUUGUGAAUUGCAGAAUUCCGUGAACCAAUGGAUCUUUGAACGUGCAUUGCACUCUCGGGAUAUCCCUGGGAGUAUGCCUGCUUCAGUGCUUGUGGAAUCCUCAUGCAGGUGCUUGUCCAUCUUGGAUGUGCCUGCGUCUUUGUGUGCCAUGGCUCUGUCUUCUGGGCGGAGUUAGUGGCGCAUUCAGGGUUAGCGAUUGCUCUGGCAUCUGCAACUUGUGAAGUACACUCCUGUGCAUCUGCUGGUUGUGUUGCCUCAAAGAGCUUUCUGACAUAGCUUCGGCUAUCUCCUGCACAGCAUGAAGUCAGGUCAGCAAACCCGCUGAAUUUAAGCAUAUAAGUAAG
rnacentral:rRNA from 1 species